GGAGAAAUACCCAAGUGGCUGAAGGGGCUCCCCUGCUAAGGGAGUAGUGGUGUAACAGCCAGCCCGAGUUCAAAUCUCGGUUUCUCCGCCA
rnacentral:tRNA from 1 species